rnacentral:rRNA from 1 species
AUUGAACGCUGGCGGCAUGCUUUACACAUGCAAGUCGAACGGUAACAGGCCGCAAGGUGCUGACGAGUGGCGAACGGGUGAGUAAUGCAUCGGAACGUGCCCAGUCGUGGGGGAUAACGCAGCGAAAGCUGCGCUAAUACCGCAUACGAUCUAUGGAUGAAAGCGGGGGACCGUAAGGCCUCGCGCGAUUGGAGCGGCCGAUGUCAGAUUAGGUAGUUGGUGGGGUAAAGGCUCACCAAGCCAACGAUCUGUAGCUGGCCUGAGAGGACGACCAGCCACACUGGGACUGGGACACGGCCCAGACUCCUACGGGAGGCAGCAGUGGGGAAUUUUGGACAAUGGGCGCAAGCCUGAUCCAGCAAUGCCGCGUGCAGGAAGAAGGCCUUCGGGUUGUAAACUGCUUUUGUACGGAACGAAGCGGUCCUGGUUAAUACCUGGGGCUAAUGACGGUACCGUAAGAAUAAGCACCAGCUAACUACGUGCCAGCAGCCGCAGUAAUAC